ensembl:lncRNA
CUUAGCUAGUUAGCUUCUAGAAAGAAUGGGAAAGACAUUAAUCAUUGAUGAUCACAUAACUUACAUUGACCGUUGUCCCCCAGAUAUGUCUUUUGUGGGUCAGUGGAAGGCAGGUUUGAUUAUAUAGCAGAUAUUUUUCUGCAGGUGUGUUUCAUGGACAGCCAUAUAAGCAAUUCUAAAGUAGCAACUUUCCAUGAAGUGAACUCAAAAGUGUUCUUACUUAUGGAUUGAAUAGCUGCUAGUGUAAAAAUGGCAGAUCAUUCUGACUCUCAACUCUAUUUUGCAAACCUUGGGUCUGAAUUAGAUACGUUUCUUGACUGGGAAAAGGUCACUGGCUUUUUGUCUCUGGAGAACGGUUGUGUGCCAUGAUUGCUUACUGCUGGCUGAUUAUUAUAAAAGGGUAUAUAUCUGUGUCCCUCACUGGUUGGAGGGAAUCUGGAUCACAUGGAGACAAACAAGCCACCUGCCUUCUUCUCAGGUGAAGCCAAACAAUACAAGUGGAUUUGUGGAUCUGUGAGACUCCUGUGAGCCUGUCAGGGGGGAGCGAGAAAUCUCUCUAAGUGAUGUACUCCAGAAGCACUAAUUAUAUGAAACUGGAGCUUUCAGGAAAGGGGAACACCAGCUUUACAGUGGACUGAUCUGAUAGUUUAGAAAAGAAAUCAAGCACUGGAGGAUAGCAAAACAACUUCUCCUGGGAAGAAAAACAGAAUGACAUGCUCCAGCUUUGCUAAUAUAGACUAAGACCUUCUGAUGUAACUGAUAAACAAAACCAAAACAUUAAUAAUGAAGACAUAGAAAGCAUCUGCACAGUUUUCCUGUACUGUUCCUAUAGACAUUGGAAUAAGCCGCUGACAGAAUAAGGAUUCAAACAAGCAAUAGAGGUCCUUAAGAGAGCAGCAUAAAUGAGGAUGGGGGCAGAGUCGUUUGCUCCCCAUCCUGAUCAAAUGUGUGGCUUCCUUUUACAAUGCUAGAGGACUUCAUUGGACAAUGGAAGGUAAGCAGUGUUGACUAAGUCUGUGUUCUGUGUCAUGAGACUUGUGUGCACACGCAUUCUGAGAUGUACAGUGUUUUUCAGAAUAGGUGCUUCUGGCUGAAAUCAUAGUCUCAUUAAGGCCUUUGCAGCCUCACUUGCUGGAAUCAGCAGUAUUUCAGGAAGCAGCACCCACUAAAUAGAUUCUUUCUCAUUUCAAACUGUAAGUAAAGUUUUUCGAAUCUGAAAUGUUCGCUGAGGACCAUGACUGGUUAGAAUAAAUUAAUUGUUUGAAUAAUUUAAGAAUGAGGUUCUUCGAUCUCAUGUUUCAUAGUCUUUGAAAAGUAUAUAUGUACGCUAUCCAUAAAGUACAGAGAUCUGUGAAAUAUUGUUGAAUAAAAUAUGGAGUUAGUUGUCAUUAGAGAAUUACUUAUCUCAGUACCCUUGGUCAUAGGUGCUUGCUCGCUGGCUCUCUCUCUCUCUCUCUCUCUCUCUCUCUCUCUCUCUCUCUCUCUCUCUCUGUCUUUCUGAUUUUAUAGACAUUUAUUCAUUUAUUUUCAUUUUUGCAUCCAAUCAAAAUUAGCUCACGAUUUACUAGAAAAAUGCUCUACAAAUUUUAUGUGCUUGUUAUUGGCAACUCAUAGUUACUGAACAUUCUCCAUUGGUUCUGUCCACAAGUUCAUUCAUUAGGCCAGCAAUGUCUGGGUCCUUUUUCUCCCCUUGCAUGUAAGACAUAGACAAUUUUCUUCUGUGGUCAGUUUUCUAUAGACUCCUUUUGUUAUCUGUACCUUUCUAAAGUUAAAAUCAAUGAAAACACUGAAAUCACUCUUUCCUACUGUCUAUCAAAAGAUAUUCUUGGGAAUUCACUGCUUUUUCUCAUGUCUGGUUGUGACUUUUCUUGCUUUUAUUUUAUAAGUGACCACCGUUUGUAUAAUCAAUGGUCUUUCUGGCUUGGCCACAUUCUCUUCAACAUUUUUUCUGGGUGCAGUAGCUGUGGCUGACUAGUGAAAGAUCCCCAACUACCGUCUAUUUCUUAUUUUCUUUCUUGGUUUCCUUGUAACUCCACUGGAAGACAACACUAAGUUUAUUCCUUCUGUCUUCUAUGCUUUUGUGUAUAGCAUCCUUGCCUUGCAGCUUAUGACGGUGUUGUUGGAAACAUUGUUUUAUCAACCAACACCAGGAAGCCGAAGGAUAAGCAAGGCAAAAGAAAAUCUUUGUACUGGAGGGUAAAAAUAAAAUACUUGACCAUAAUCAUCCUAUUUUCUUCCCUAAACCAUUAAUAUUCCUUUUGAGUGUCCACGAUGAAUUUUGUCUUCUCAAAUCUCCCAUGCACAGUUUCUGUACAUAGUAACAGGGAGCAUUUCUGAAGCAGAAGUUCUGUAGAGUAAACAAAAGCAAUUCAACCAAUCUGAAUGGUCUUUCAUUGAAAGAGAAGGCUUAGUUGUUAUUUCCAUGGUGCAGAAACAAAUCUUGGUUUGUUUUAUAAGACUUAGAGAUAGAAAUCUACUUCCAACUCUUCUGUAAUGCUUACAUUUUGCUUUCCUACAAAUUCAUCAAAUAGUGGUAGUAGGAAUGAUUCUGCACACAGUUAUAAAUCAAUGUCUACUGACUUUUGCAAUGAACUAGGACUAAUAGACAUUUUAAGUGCUCACUGUGGGGAGAUUGUCAUCCCCUUUCCAGUUUUCACAUUAUCUGGGCCUAUCUCUUCACACUAACUCAUCUCCUAAGGGAACUUAUUCAAGAUCAUUGUUUGAUCUGCAUCUUAAGCUCUAACCACUUUCUAAAUGUUCUACUCAGGUAUCUCUAUGUCUAGUGUUUGAGUUUCAGAUGCUGCUGGCAUGCUGCAGGUCAACUUAAAACUGUAUGUUCUUUCAAUAUACAUGCUUGCCAUUCUCCAAUUUCAUGGUGACAAUGCUUCCAUUAAAAACAGAUGAGAAAUAGCCCCCUAAAUCUGUAUACCUUGUACCUAAUCUGUCCUAGGCAUCAGAAAAACAUCUGCAUAUAAAAUAUACUCUGUAAAUUCUUAUAUUGUAAAUAAAUAGAUAAAAUAUGCUUAUUUACUCACUUUGGAUAGUCACAAUGGAGUCUGAUAAUGAUUAUGCAAAUGAUAAGUAUUUAAUGAAAAUCAUUAUAAAUGAUUGAUUAAAGUACCCCCUUUUUAUUAACAUUUUAUAUAAACAUAAUCUGAGACCUUCCAAAGUCCUUGGGGUCUGUGAAUUUGGGCAAGUUAGUAAACACCUUUGUGAAUCUGCUUCUGUAUUAUAAAUCUGGAC